rnacentral:rRNA from 1 species
CGUAGGGUGCGAGCGUUAAUCGGAAUUACUGGGCGUAAAGCGUGCGCAGGCGGUUAUAUAAGACAGAUGUGAAAUCCCCGGGCUCAACCUGGGAACUGCAUUUGUGACUGUAUAGCUAGAGUACGGCAGAGGGGGAUGGAAUUCCGCGUGUAGCAGUGAAAUGCGUAGAUAUGCGGAGGAACACCGAUGGCGAAGGCAAUCCCCUGGGCCUGUACUGACGCUCAUGCACGAAAGCGUGGGGAGCAAACAGGAUUAGAUACCCUGGUAGUCCACGCCCUAAACGAUGUCAACUGGUUGUUGGGUCUUCACUGACUCAGUAACGAAGCUAACGCGUGAAGUUGACCGCCUGGGAAGUACGGCCGCAAGGUUG